UACGAAGGGGGCUAGCGUUGCUCGGAAUCACUGGGCGUAAAGCGCACGUAGGCGGACUCUUAAGUCGGUGGUGAAAUCCUGGAGCUCAACUCCAGAACUGCCUCCGAUACUGCGAGUCUCCGAGUCCGGGAGAGGUGAGUGGAACUGCGAGUGUAGAGGUGAAAUUCGUAGAUAUUCGCAAGAACACCAGUGGCGAAGGCGGCUCACUGGCUCGGUACUGACGCUGAGGUGCGAAAGCGUGGGGAGCAAACAGG
rnacentral:rRNA from 1 species